rnacentral:tRNA from 2 species
AGGGCAUUAGCUCAAUUGGUAGAGCACCGGUCUCCAAAACCGGCGGUUGGGGGUUCGAGUCCCUCAUGCCCUGC